rnacentral:lncRNA from 1 species
CAAUAGGGGGCGCCGCGUUGGAACGCCCGAAGAGGUGCUGCUGGGGUGGUUGGAAGCCGGUGGGGGGCGGGUGUAUGGCGGCUAGGCCUGGAAGACCACGAGGACCGCUAGCGCCGUGGGGUCACUCUUCCUCAUGCCACAGGUUGCCGAGCCUCGGGGGAGAGGUGGGGUCCCAGGGGCCAACCCUUGGGUGUGUUGAUGGCGGCAGGCUAACCCAGCCAACGGGGUGCCACUGCCGGGCAAGGUGAGGAGCAAGAAGAUUUCCAGGGCUGGGAGGUAGAGGGCCAGGACCCCAAGGAGAGGGCUUACUGCGAGGAGCAGCCCAGGAUGGAUAAGGAGUUGAGGCCCCAGGGAUGCUGAGCCUGCACAAGUGGAAGUGACUGGCUACCAGACUCUGAAAAACCUAAGUCCUUUAGGGAAGACCACAAAAGCAUCCAACCACAGUCUGCGCUGCAGCCCGGCAGAACUAAGUCUUGGGCGCCGCGACGCCUUUCCUACGGAAUAGGUCCUGGAAGGAAGACCAUUUAAGGACUGGCGCCGGAUCCAACACCUUUCCCCAGCUCUGCGCGUACCGCGCUCUUUGGAAACGAAUU